rnacentral:rRNA from 1 species
UACGAAGGGUGCAAGCGUUACUCGGAAUUACUGGGCGUAAAGCGUGCGUAGGUGGUUUGUUAAGUCUGAUGUGAAAGCCCUGGGCUCAACCUGGGAAUUGCAUUGGAUACUGGCAGGCUAGAGUGCGGUAGAGGGUAGUGGAAUUCCCGGUGUAGCAGUGAAAUUCGUAGAUAUCGGGUGGAACACCUGUGGCGAAGGCGGCCAUCUGGACGUUCACUGACGCUGAGACGCGAAAGCGUGGGGAGCAAACAGG